AGCAGUAGCCGCGGUAAUACGUAGGGUGCAAGCGUUAAUCGGAAUUACUGGGCGUAAGGCGUGCGCAGGCGGUCCGCUAAGACAGAUGUGAAAUCCCCGGGCUUAACCUGGGAACUGCAUUUGUGACUGGCGGGCUAGAGUAUGGCAGAGGGGGGUAGAAUUCCACGUGUAGCAGUGAAAUGCGUAGAGAUGUGGAGGAAUACCGAUGGCGAAGGCAGCCCCCUGGGCCAAUACUGACGCUCAUGCACGAAAGCGUGGGGAGCAAACGGGAUUAGAUACCCCAGUAGUCCCUGUCUCUUAUAC
rnacentral:rRNA from 1 species